rnacentral:rRNA from 1 species
CCCUUUGACGUUAGCGGCGGACGGGUGAGUAACACGUGGGUAACCUACCUAUAAGACUGGGAUAACUUCGGGAAACCGGAGCUAAUACCGGAUAAUAUUUCGAACCGCAUGGUUCGAUAGUGAAAGGUGGUUUUGCUAUCACUUAUAGAUGGACCCGCGCCGUAUUAGCUAGUUGGUAAGGUAACGGCUUACCAAGGCGACGAUACGUAGCCGACCUGAGAGGGUGAUCGGCCACACUGGAACUGAGACACGGUCCAGACUCCUCGGGAGGCAGCAGAC